rnacentral:rRNA from 1 species
CACGUAGGGUGCGAGCAUUGUCCGGAAUUAUUGGGCGUAAAGAGCUCGUAGGCGGUGUGUCGCGUCGGCCGUGAAAACCUGCAGCUUAACUGUGGGCGUGCGGUCGAUACGGGCAUCACUGGAGUUCGGCAGGGGAGACUGGAAUUCCUGGUGUAGCGGUGAAAUGCGCAGAUAUCAGGAGGAACACCGGUGGCGAAGGCGGGUCUCUGGGCCGAUACUGACGCUGAGGAGCGAAAGCGUGGGGAGCAAACAGG